CUGUUGACCCAGAGUGCAAGCACAGACGAUGAUCAGACACUGAUUUCACACUUGUGAUAGUGGUGAUCAUUGAAGAAACACGAAGAAUUCAGAACCUGACUGGAAGCUCAAGACGAGAUGCAAAAAAAGGAAUAAAAAUUCAAAGACCUUGGAACAGAAUUCCAGCAACAUCAAACCAAGGAGCAUGGACUCACAGGUUGCUCAUAAAUUCCAGGACCUUCACUGGAUCCCCACCA